rnacentral:rRNA from 3 species
UACGUAGGGACCAAGCGUUGUUCGGAUUUACUGGGCGUAAAGGGCGCGUAGGCGGCAUGACAAGUCACUUGUGAAAUCUCCGGGCUUAACUCGGAACGGCCAAGUGAUACUGUCGCGCUAGAGUGCGGAAGGGGCAAUCAGAAUUCUUGGUGUAGCGGUGAAAUGCGUAGAUAUCAAGAGGAAUACCUGAGGUGAAGACGGGUUGCUAGGCCGACACUGACGCUGAGUGCGCGAAAGCCAGGGGAGCAAACGGG